CCUAGUGUAUAUAACUGUCAAAGCUCAUUGAACAGUUCGGAUCUGUACAUUUUAAUGUUUGCAGUUAUGUUCCAAUUUGAAAAUUCUUCUUUAAGCUAGAAAUCUACCACCUGAAAGGAUUAGAAUGCAUGCUCCUCAUCUUGAUAGCUGUAUCUCUGUGUUCAACAUGGCUGCCAUAAACUGGAUAUUGAUAUCUAUGAGGUUCUCCUCUGUCCCAGGACAGGUCCAGAAAUGUCAUCAAGGAGCGAAGACGCCAGUGUGGCUGAGCUGUUAACCCAAGCUCAAGAGAAAGUUUCCUUUACUCUUCUCUCUCCUUUGCCCAAGUGGAAGGGGUCUCUUCCCAUAGGCACCGCAGCUGGCUAUGUGCUGGUUCACACUUGAAGUCAGCAUGGUUUUGAGUGUCACCCAAGGCCCACAGUGAAUACUGCCCAGCUACCAUUGCUGCUUGUUGAGGGUCCAAGGGCACUUUAGUUAGCUCAUGAUGAAUUCUGCAAAAAUUGGGUCCUUUCCUUGAAGGCAGUGAGUUCCAUUCUGGCCCAGGAUGUAUUUCAAAAUGUCCUCCAGGAUUUAUUUUUAGAGCAGUUUUAGGUUUACAGCAAAAGUGAGCAGAAGGUUCAGGGAUUUGCAGUAUAGCCCCCGCCUGUCCCACACGUGCAUGCACGGCCUCUCCCACCACCUACAUCCAGUGCCACAGUGGUACAUUUAUUACAUUGACAAUACAUCAUCAUCACCAAAUACCAUAGUUUACAUUAGGCUUCACUCUUGACGUUGUACAUUCUAUGUGUUUGGAAUGACAUGUAUCCACCAUCAUAGUAUCAUACAGAAUAGUUCCACUGUCCUAAAAAUCUCUGUAAUCCACCAAGUCAGCCUUCCCUUUCCAUUAACACUAGGCAACCAUUGAUCUGUAUAUGGUCUCCAUAGUUUUGCCUUUUUCAGAAUGACCCUAUAGUUGAAAUCAUAUAUUAUGUAGCUUUUUCAGGUUGGCUUUUUUCACUUAAUAAUAUAUAUUUAAGGAUUGUUUGUCUUUUCAUGGAUUGAUAGGGCAUUUCUAUUUAAUGCUGAAAAAAUAUUCUGUAGUUUAAAGGUACGACAAUUUAUUUUACUAUUCACUUACUGAAGGACGUCUUGGCUGCUUCCAAGUUUUGACAACCAUGAAUAAAGCUGCUAUAAACAUCAA